UCUCUUUGUAGAUCUUAGAGGAUACCCGUAAAUGGUGGAAGGCGCGAAAUAUACGAGGUCAGGUGGCUCAUGUUCCACACACAAUUGUUACGCCAUAUAACUACGGUGACGAGUCUAAUAGCAAUCAAUUCUAUGGGCAACAACAAGUUCAAUCACUUCAGCAAGGGAAUAACUAUACCCAAGCAAGGAAUGCAGCAGAUACACUAUUAAGUGAUAAUAUCGAAGCGCACCGAUCACAGGACACUACCGAUUGGAUUCGUAAUAAGCAUCUGGGUAAGAAAGGAGAGUUCAGAUAUUUUUAAUAUGCUGCAUCAUAUCAACAUGUGUACACGUAUCGCUCUUUCUUCACUGGGUCUUUGGUGUUUUUAUCUAUAACUUUGUUUAAACAACUAAACUAAAAUUUUAAUUUUAUUUUAUGUUUAGAGUGUGUGACUUAAUGUAGUUGCCAAUAUCAGGUUAUGUUGUAUUUUUGAUGAGUUUGCUGAGUACAUUACAACACACUGAAUAUCAAAAAAUUAAAAAAAAAAAACUUAUCAGAUUUAAGUAUUUCUCUUUUAGAUAAGUAACGAAUCUCUUAUUUCUUUGUAAAAUCAUAAAAAGAGACUAAACAAUGGCGUAUUGAAGCCAAGAAAUUUAUUUAUAAAUCGUUUAUGAACAAACUUCCGAAUCGAUGUUCAGCAAUUAGUAUUCAUGUUAUUUUUAUUAACUGAAAAAGAGUAAAACUUUCGAGAAAAUAUUACAAAGUUAGGAGCAAUUGUAAAUUGUUUAUGUUAUGCUAGUUUUUUCAUUAAUGUGGUACAGAUUUGCUGAAAACUAUUAAAGACCAUAGACUACGUAUCUCGAAAAAUGAUAGUACCUAUGUAGAUCUAUCAGCUUUUACCAAGAAUAUAACAAACAGUGAAAGUA